UACAGAGGGGGCAAGCGUUGUUCGGAAUUACUGGGCGUAAAGGGCGCGUAGGCGGCCCGCUAAGUCGAACGUGAAAUCCCCGAGCUCAACUCGGGAACUGCGUCCGAUACUGGCGGGCUUGAAUCCGGGAGAGGGAUGCGGAAUUCCAGGUGUAGCGGUGAAAUGCGUAGAGAUGUGGAGGAACACCGAUGGCGAAGGCAGCCCCCUGGGCUAACACUGACGCUCAUGCACGAAAGCGUGGGGAGCAAACGGG
rnacentral:rRNA from 1 species